UUGGGGUGUCGCCAAGCGGUAAGGCAACGGGUUUUGAUCCCGUCAUGCGUAGGUUCGAAUCCUACCACCCCAGCCAU
rnacentral:tRNA from 1 species